rnacentral:lncRNA from 1 species
UACCAGUUUUAAUAAUGAUUUAUGAUUAAUAUAAGCAAUUCACAGGUAUGUAUAACAAAUAUUACAAUAUAUGUGUAUCGAUUCUGAUAAAAAUAGAAUGUAAUUAAUUUUUUUCCCCUUUUUUUAACGAUAAAAAAAGUGGAGAGCAAUACCGUUAUCUCCACGCUUAUCGGUGAAAGGUGAAAUUAUUUCUCUAAAUCAGUUCCGAUCUAGACUUUUAAAUUAUUUUAUCUUUUUCUAUUCUUAUUUUUGCUAGAUUAUACAUUUGCAAACAUAAAAAUUAUUACAACAAUUUGACAACUUAGUCAAGUGAACAUUUAUUCUUAGUAUGUUUACUAGUUGCCUGCAAUUUUGUAAGCUGUACAUGAAUUCUGUUUUAAAUACAGAAUAUACAUCUAAAAGAUUUUGUUUUCUGUUCAGACAUAUAGUUUGCCUUGUAUAUACAAAACAUUUAUAAUUGUAAUCAAAUAGUUAAUUUCAUAGUAUUUUUUCAUCAUUUAUUUUAUAACCCCAAACUAAAUUUUUUAAUGUUAGAAUAUUAUUAUUAAUAUUCAGUUUUUUUCUAAGAGUGUUUUUACUUUUCUCCAGAAAUUAUCAAGAAAAUGACAUGUUAGAAACAUGUGAUCAUAAUCCUCUGUGGUGUUGCAAUAAUGACAAUUUGAAAUAUCGCAUAUCUUCCACGUUUUCAAUAAAACUUUACAAGGUAAAAUAAAUUGUAGCAAUUUCCAACGGAUCACUUUGUAUUUAUUAUCUUUUAAAAAAUAAUGAACAAACUUUAACAUAUUACAUGAAAGACUCUUAAUGUAUACAAGGUUAAGCUUUGUCUUCCAUUUAUAAAAACAACAACAGGUAUUUCAAUUUCAUUCUUAAUUAAUAUAUUAUAAAUUUUUCUGGUAUCUACAUUUUCUAAUUUUUUCUUUUUUAUUGCAAUUAUCAAUAAUAUGUAUUGCAUAGGGCGUUUUUACUUUAGUUUUCUUUGAGUUUUCCUGUUUUAAAAUCUUUAACCAUUCUCUUGGAAAUAGCUUUCUUUAAUUGGUAAAAUUCUGACAUCCAGUUACUUUUUAUUUUAAGCUUUUGUAAAAUAAAAUUUUCUUCUAUAUUACCAUUUUCAUCAAUGAUGUCAUUAAUAAAGAUAAAAUUACUAUUUAUCCAGUUUUGGAAUAAAAGGCAUUUAUUUUUUUAUCUUUAGUAACGAUUUCCACAAAUAACUUCUUGACGUAUAGAUCUAAAGUUUUUUGGCUGUUGUACUUUUUUUAUUAUUUAUCCAUGCUUUUACAAUGUUGAAAUAAAAUGUUGGCAGCUCCUUUAACUCUGGAAUAGAGUCAGUGUUAUCAAUAUUCAUGUGAAAGAUAAGGAAAUCUUUUCCAAACUUAUUAAAAUAAAAAAGUGGAAUAAUUUUCCAAUUUUUUAAAUCUCCAUUAAUUAACCUUUUGAUCCACCCAAUUUUGAUAGAUUCUAUAUAUAUUUAUCUAUGUUAAUCAUUUUUAAACCCCCAUCUAGUUCACCAAAAACUUAGUACUGUGCGUUUAACCUUUCUCUCUUUGCUUUUCCAUAAAAAAAUAUAGAUAAUUUUUUUAAAUUUAACAAUAUAUUCUUUUUCAAUAUGUGAAACAGAUGCGAAAAAGGUAAUGUUUGGUAUGAUCAAUGAUUUGAUAACUGUUUUUUUAUCGAUCAUGGUUAAAUGUCUUUUCUCCCAAUUUUUGAUAAUCCUUUCAGAUUUUUCUAUUUGUUUUUCUGCAUUUAGUUUUUGGCAUUCAUUUGUGUUACAACCGAAAAAAAUUCCUAAACAUUUCACUGGUUUGUUUGUAAAGUUGAUAUUUUCAUAUUGUUCUUUGCAAUGUUUGUGUUUUUCUAACCAAAUUCCUUCUGUUUUUGAUCUGUUUAAUUUAAGCCCUGACAAAGUGCCAAAAAUUUCAAUCAUGUUUAAUACUUUUGAAAUGUCUUGUUUUGUUUUUAAAAAAAAGUGUGGUGUUUUCUGCAAGUUGACUGAUUUUUAAAGAAUGUGUUUUCCCAUCUAUUUUGAUUUCAAAUCCUUUAAUAUUAUUGUCUUGUCUUAUUCUACAUGCUAAUAUCUCGACAGCAAUAACGAAAAUUAAAGCACUGCACAGACAUCCUUGUCUAAUCCCUCGAAAAAUGUUGAGGGGUUCAGAUAUCCACCCAUUAUUGAUCACUGAGCUUUCAAUAUCUGUAUACAGAAUUAGAGUUAAUUGCUUUGCCUCAAGAAUACCUUCUGGUGUUUUCAAAAGUCGCUUUGGUGACAGGUCUUUUCUUUCAGUGUUGCUCACUUCAACUUGUCCAUUAAGUUUAAUAAAUUCAUAGGGAUGUACGAUUUCAUCAUGAAAGACUCUUUCUUGUUUUUUAUCAACUAGUUCAUUAUCAAGAAGUUCUAAUAAAAUUUCUGCACGAAGAUCAGCAUUGUCAUAGUUUUUGUCUCAGUCCUUGGAUGGUGUAAACUUUCCACUAACACCAUACACCAUUACACCAUACACCAUACCCCAUUACACCAUACACCUUGUACCAUUACACCAUACACGUUACACCUUUGCACCAUACACCUUACACUUUACACCAUACACCAUUCCCCAUUCUAUCUACACGAUCCGAAAUUACCCAUAAUGCAAUUAAAUUUUAAAUAUUAAGAUUUUUAUUAUGUUUAUGCUAACAAUCCUAAAAAAUGAAAUAAAAAAAACUUCGUUUGCAACCAAUGAAAGGUCGUACAUAUCAUUCACACCAUUCCCGAUCGCACGUUACACAAUCACACCAUUCCUCAUACACCAUUACACCAUUACACCAUACACCAUAUGCCAUACACCAUUACACCAUACACGUUGUUUUGGGAAGUUUACACCAUCCAAGGGCUCGAUUUUUUGUUUUGGUAGCAAUUUCAGAAAAUGUUUUACAUUUUAAAUUUUUUAAACAUGCUGUUUUUCUUGCACUGAUUUAAAUAUCAUAUAUCCAUAAAAAUCAUGAUAUGUUACCGGCACCUCCAAUAUAAUGAGUGUGUUGCUAACGAGAUGAAUUUAAUGCGCUGGAAAAAUAGAAAAUUUGGUAUUUUGCCGGCUCGAGUUUAGCGGAAGCCAUGUUAAGAUCGAUCAAAAACUAUGAUGAUCACAUAUAUGCAAUAAAAUUUCAAAAGUAAAUUUGAAUUUAAACAUUAUUGAUUUUUAGAGAUAUGUGAUUGAUUUUGGUAUCAUUGUAUAAUAUCAGGAACAGUUACAUAAUAUAGAUAUACUGUCCCCCGAUAACAUUUCGUCAAAUUUAUGAUGCAAUGAGAUUUUUUAAGAUCGUUUUGGGUAAAGAUUGCAAUGCAAUCACACGUAUGUUACUUUUUGAUACACAAAAUAUAUAUUGAUUGAUCAUUUCUAUACAUCCUAUCCAUGAACAUUUCAAGAAUUUUAUCUCUGUAAUAUAUGCUCAUAUAUUCAAGUCACAAAAAAAUGUUACACCUGCCAAGAAAAUUACAUAACUUUUGCAAAAUGCAAUACUCUUAAUCUGUUUUAAAAAUAAAAAUGAUGACAUUGUGAAACGUAAUCUUUCAGUAAAAGUUAACGUGACGGUACCCAAAUUGCACCUAUUUUGACAGUUUUUUCACCGACGUUUUUUUAUGAUCAAGAAAAAAUGUCCAUACUGUGUUUAUUUUGUAGCCCUAUCCUUCUUGAUUGUAUAGGUACAAUUUAAAUUUUAAUUAUCCAUAUUGAGUCAUGAAAAAUGGGUUUGAAUCAACCUCCAAACUAUCAUAUGAUUCUGUAAUGAGGAGUAUCCAAAGCAUCCAUGCUUAAAUUCACAUCGUUCAAAAGUCUAAUAACCGGCUUUUUGUUUAAUUUCCUUCAAAUAUUUUGAACAUUGGAUAUUUGUCCAUGCUACUCUUCAUAUUUUACGAAAUGGAUACUAUAAUGUAUUGUAUUGCUAAUUUAAAAGAUGAGUUUUGAUGACGUCGCAUGGUGACGUUUUCGUACAUUUUGCUUUUUCAGUAAACAGUCCAUCUGUUGAUAAAAACUAUGAACGUUUUGUGUAUAUCUAAAUAUGUUUACCUUGGAAAGACGUGCAUAGUAUCAAAUCAUAAAAAUACAAAUUGUUUAGUCUCUAGGAAAUCUUGUAAAAUUUUUGUUGCUAUUUUUUUCUAAAUAGGUGCAAUUUGGGUACUCGGUGCAAUUUGGGUACCCUUACGUUAGAUUGAAAGACUUCCCAAGUAUGUUUUUAAAUAUGGAGUUUUGUGUUUUUUUUCUAAUUUACUUUAGUCUAAUGCUUCAAAAUUUGGUUUGAAUUCUGAUAUCCAUAUUUCUGAUCCAUAUUCAUUAAAGUUAAAAUAGGAGUUAUAGUCCACAAUAAAACCCGUAAUUAUUCGUAUCUAUUCGGUAUUAGCAUUUAGGGUUUUAUACAAAUAAUUUUCGUUUUUUUGUUGUACAGGACUCCUUGCCAAAACAGCAAUGUCAAACACUUUGUUUAGUGUCAGUCGUAUAUUAUUAAGUGUAAUAACAGAAGUUGCAGGACAUUGGGUUGACAAUUUACAUCAGUUGCAAAUGUAAACAGGAAGUGACCUUUGAACGUAGAGAACAGCUGUAUUACACGUGUUUUUGGUCAGAG